GACGACUCUUUCAGACGAAUCCAGUCGGGGUUACAUUAAAACUGGUCCUGCUCUUCUAAACUCAAUCAUUGCAUUAGGCAGGUGUUUCUGUUCAACAGUCCAAAACACAUUAAAUAAAGUGCGCGCAUCUGUAAUAAAACAUGCCUCACACGGCUCCGGGGCGUGAAUAAAGACCUGCAGCAAAUCCAUGCGUUUUUACAAGAAAAAUAUCCAUAUUUCAAAUGUAAUAAACUCUUUUCUCUCACUUCUGCGGUCUAUGCAGAAGCGUUCCGGCGGAUGACUACAGAUUAUAGAAAUCAAAUUACACCAACUUAAACGUCACCAAAGAAACAUGUAGCUAUGUGAUAACAACAAUGAGAAGGUAACCAGUAACAGCAGGGUUUUAGGAUUCAAUCGCACAAGAUGCAAAGACGCCAGAGCAGUUUCUGUAUUUGCAAUUUCCAACUUUAAUUUGGUAAAAUCAUACAAUAAACACAUUUUAUUUUUCGUGAAGUGCACAGCCUCUAAACUAGUACAUAAAGCAAAUACUCUAACUCUAAGGGCUCCGGUGAUGUUCUUUCACAUGAUCUGGUCAAUUAAAAGCCUCUCACUUCAUGCUUUCAACACUCCACUCAUAACUGCUUCUGUAAUUAAGACCGAAUGUUCAGCCAAACCUGUCAGAGAACACCAGCGCCAGAGCCCAAUAUGCAAAUGCAACAAUAGAGAAUAACCACAUGUUUUUGUUACUUAAGAUUGCCGUGUGCCAGACAUUCACUGGGGGUACAAAUGAAAAUAAAAUCUAUAUUGGAAAAAAAACCAAACCAAAACAA